rnacentral:snRNA from 1 species
GGAUGUGAAGGUGAUCUGGCUGCAACAUCUGUCACCUCACUGAUCAACAGGGUUGAUUUGGCUGAUCUGGCUGGCGAGGUGGGUGUCUCCUUCCUCCCUCACCACUCCAUGUCCAUCCCUCAUGUGUGUGUGUGUGUGUGUGUGUGUGUGUGUGUGUGUGUGUGUAGAUCCUUACAAAUUUCUCGACAAGUUAGUAACCUUCAAAAAAAGUCGACUCAAUUAAAAUCACUCAUCACAGGAGUCGGG